rnacentral:lncRNA from 1 species
AUGGAGCAUAGGUUCAUAAUUAGGCUUUGUAAUUCAGAUCACAUUUGGUUACUAUUACGUUACAGUUUUUUUUCCCCCGUAAUUCUUCGACAUCUGUCAUCCUCUUCCUCCUUUUCCUGCUGCAGUACUGCUUCCUUGGUCCAGAUUGCAUCCGAGUUAGAAGACCUGAAAAUCCAGUUGCAAACCAAGGACAUCUUCAUCUCUGAUCUGGAGAAGGAGCUCAGGGAGAAUUUCCAGCAAAAGCAAAAGACUGCAACACAGGUGCUGGAAAGUAGUGAGAGGCUGGUGCACCUGCAGAGCGAGCUCUCUUGUCUGCAGCGGAUCCAGAAAGACAACAUGAAGGAGAUUGCUGAGAAAAACAUCUGCAUCACCAAGCUGCAAGCUAACAUUCAGCUGCUGCAACAAGAGGGGGCCGACACACAUGCUCAGCUCUCCAAACUGAGUGUGAGAGCGAAGGAGCUUCAGCAGGAUGAGCUGAAGAGAAAAGAGGAGGAAUGGAGGCAAAGAGAAGAGGAACAGAGACUGAAACAUGAAAAGGAGAUUCAACAAGCAGAGGAGAGGAGAAGGCAGGAGCAACAAACAAGAGAGGAGGAGGAGUGGGUGAAGAAAGUGGAGGAGGAGAGGAAGAGGCAGGAGUGGAAGAGGGAGCGUGAGGAGGAGAGAAAGACCCUUGCUGAAGCUGUUAAAAAGUGGUCUGAGAAGGCAGCUAUUUUGAAUUCUGAGUACCUCCAAAUCAAAGAUUUCUAAAACCAAGGGAAGCUAAAGACACUCAUCAUGAACCCAAGUCACCUCCCUCUACAGUUAAUACAUUACAAGAAUCAUUCAAUUAAUAAUAAAAUGCACAUGUUUAAAAUAGUCUCUCCUCUUUUGAGCUUUCAUAAUUUAUAUGAUGAAGUUUUCUUGAAGCUGUUUUAGCAUGUGUACUUACAGUAGGACAGAAGACAACAUAUUUACACGCAUGCAUGUUCACACACUUACACAGAAAACAACAAAAUACUUAACCUUAAUUCAGACCUCAGACACUCUCUCCUCUCCUCCACCCCCUCACCUCCCACCCCCUCUUCCUUCCAUCCUGCCAUCUCGCCACAACCGC